AUCUGCGCAGUCAGCGCCAUGUACUGUUACGUCCUAUACGUGAGCGACCGUUUGCGGGAUCAUCAGGGAGCGAGCAUAGAUGUUGCGAUCAAAGAUCAUGUAAAAGGUUUAGGUUUCGAAAUCAUGAGAAGAUAAUGUGGUUUAACUACAUAUAACGAAACAAUAGGUUCGAAAUACAAAGUAACUGUUACAGUCGCUUGCAGCAGAGAGUAUGUUAAUCUACUAACAAGAGAGAGAGAGAGAGAGAGAGAGAGAGAGAGAGAGAGAGAGAGAGAGAGAGAGCCUUAAGGUGGACAUUCGCCUAGACGAAUGCUUUCCGAAAUGCCAAGAAUUGAGUUCUAAUUAUGUGGACACCCGGCACCGAGGUGAUGCACUUUUCGCUUGGGCCCUAAGGCAAUAGCUAGAUCGAAAUAAGCCCUAUGGUAUUUGAUCAGCAUAACACCUGACUGAUGCGGACAAUCGGCUUAAGACUCCAGAAGGGAUACUGCUCUACCACAGGAUUGAUUCGUAACUGAGGAUGAUCGGUAUCGAUGUUCAUAAGGAAGAUUUUGAAUUUGGAGGGGAUUGAAUACAAUGUUAGGAAACUUCCGGGAAUUUGGAUACAUGUUAUGGCGUGAUCGGGGCAGUUGAUCCGGUUGCUCAAUAGAAUUCUAGUUAUAGGUCUUCGAUCACGGAUUCUUCCUUGGAUUAGUGCAUCGUCUGAAUUAUCUUGGUGGUGAGGUGGGUGUGACGGUAGGAAGAGUAGCUAAAAUGCUCUUUAGGUACCUCAUUUCUAGGUAUUCCGUUCAGCAUUACUGUCCGUGCUGUUCUUGCUCUUUGUUUGUCGUGAUCUCUCUUUCUUUUCGCUCAUCCACCUAUAAUGUCACAGUGUUGGUGUGAUUUCUGGAAAUGUGAGAGAGUGUGAGAUGUCGUGUAUAAUAUAAUGAUGUCCCUAAAUUAUCAUAAUAUAUAUAUAACUUAUAGUAAGUAACACAUGUUCGUUGAGGAUCAGUUACAUUCGUUGUGGUCUUUGACCUUUUGCUAAUGGGAGUACUGAGGGGGUGCUGAGGGGGGAGGGCAAUGAGGUUGCGUUGCGCCGGACGUAACACUACAAGAUUCACCGGCAGAAAAUUAAAAAAAAAUUAUCUUAUGCUCUUGAAUAAUGUGCAUAAAUAAAGCCUUAAAAUUUUAAUUCUCUA